CUCAGCCUCUUUGUGUGUCUCAUCAUCCCCCUAUCCCUCUGUGUGUCUCUUUGUUUCCCCAGCCCCUCUGUGUGUAUCUUCCCUACAAGCACCUUUGUGUGUCUAAUUGUCCACCAUCCCUCUGUCUUUCUUCACCCAGCCUCUCUGUGUCUCUUCCCUACAAGCACCUUUGUGUGUCUCUUUCUUUAAACCAAGCCACCCUUUGUGUCUCAUUGUCCCCCUUCGCUCUGUGUCUCUUUGCUCCCCUAGCCCCUCUGAGCGUGUCUUUUCCUACUUCCUCAGACCCUCUGUGUG